rnacentral:rRNA from 1 species
AUACGUAGGUGGCAAGCGUUGUCCGGAUUUACUGGGCGUAAAGGGUGCGUAGGUGGAUAUUUAAGUGGGAUGUGAAAUACUCGGGCUUAACCUGGGUGCUGCAUUCCAAACUGGAUAUCUAGAGUGCAGGAGAGGAAAGUAGAAUUCCUAGUGUAGCGGUGAAAUGCGUAGAGAUUAGGAAGAAUACCAGUGGCGAAGGCGACUUUCUGGACUGUAACUGACACUGAGGCUCGAAAGCGGUGGGGAGC